rnacentral:piRNA from 1 species
UGAUAGGCUAGAUGUCCUUUACUGAAUAGU